UACGUAGGGCGCAAGCGUUGUCCGGAAUUAUUGGGCGUAAAGAGCUCGUAGGCGGCCAGUUGCGUCUGCUGUGAAAUCCCGGGGCUCAACCCCGGGCGUGCAGUGGAUACGGGCUGGCUAGAGGCAGGCGGGGAGAACGGAAUUCCCGGUGUAGCGGUGAAAUGCGCAGAUAUCGGGAGGAACACCGGUGGCGAAGGCGGUUCUCUGGGCCUGU
rnacentral:rRNA from 1 species